AUUUGGUUUAGUUAGGAGGCAUAUAUUGAAUUAUAGGCCUUUUGAGGGGACUCUUAUUUUCUCUUAUUAAUAGUCUUCCAAGCAGCCUUAUACAUUU